rnacentral:rRNA from 1 species
CUCUAAAGAAAGCGUAAUAGCUCACUGGUCGAGUCGGCCUGCGCGGAAGAUGUAACGGGGCUAAACCAUGCACCGAAGCUGCGGCAGCGACACUCAGGUGUUGUUGGGUAGGGGAGCGUUCUGUAAGCCUGUGAAGGUGGCCUGUGAGGGUUGCUGGAGGUAUCAGAAGUGCGAAUGCUGACAUAAGUAACGAUAAAGCGGGUGAAAAGCCCGCUCGCCGGAAG